GAUGUUUCAAUUUCCGAUUGUAGGUUCUCCUUCUCAAUUUCAUGUUUCAAAGUUUACUACUGUAUGAGUUCAUAGAUUAAUGGAAUUAGUGGUUUGUUUUUGUAUAUAUCCCAACUUCUGAAGCUUUAAUUCCAAUUCGUUUGGAUAUUGAGCGAUGAGAAUCGAUUCAAAGAUUCAGUUAGAUGGAAUCCAACCGGUAAAUCUCUAUUUUUGAUUGAAAUUUGUUUUUAUUUAGUUUCCAUCUUGCUAAUCUUCUGAAUUUGUUUUCAAUAAUGUUGAAAAAACCAGAUUCUGAAGUGGUGUUGUUCUGCAGCAUUCAUUACACAGAUUUCUCAGUCUAUACAAGUGAGUAUGUGUAACUAGUGAUGGUUGUAGGUUUUGCUGUAAGUUUUGACAUAAUUCAAGGCAAUACUGAUGCCAGAGUUGAAGUUAGAUGAAUGUUAGGUUGCUGCUGUAAUAAAGGAAAAUGGUGGUACUUCAGUCUCAUAUGGUGUUGAAUUGGUGAUUGAUGUUGCUUCAGUGGGAGGUGGUGGUGUGUUACAAGAGAUGAUGAUACUGAAAUUAGUCUUGAAUUGAUCUUGCAGAUGCAGUAUUGGUGUGUGGUUCAGGUGGUAAUUGAAUGGUAAUAUGAAAGCAGCUUGUUGCAGGUUCUGUUGUUAGAAGUUUGAGCUGAAUUGCCGGGUUAGACGAAUGGUUGGCUUCUUGAUUAAUUGCAGUGUAGGAGAUGAUGUUAUUGUAGCCAAGGAUGUGUGUGUGCAAGAGGACUUACUCGUUCCAUGGUCAUGCAUUCAACUUCCUCAACGACAAUGGAUUAGCAAAGUGGAGGGAUUAUUCUGCUGCUAUGGGUGUGAUUUAACUUUGCUGUAGAGUACUUUCCUUGCAUCUUCUUUCAAAAUAUGUUAGAUAAAUGUGGAUGAAACCCAGGGUUGUGUUGAGUUGCUGAUGAUGGUUGUGUUGCUGAUGCUCGUGCUUUAAAGUCAAGAGGAUAGAUGAAUGCUUAGGAAGUUGAGCAUGAACUCAAUAUGUAUCCAGGCAGUGAAAGCAGAACAAGAAGUUGUUACUGCUUGUGUAUUGCUGAUGGUGUUUGAGUAGGGGCAUGAAAGUGACUGCAGCUAUUGGCUCAUGUUGCAAGUGUGCAUAGACGGCUGUGGUCAUGAAGCUGUUGCAGGUAGAUUUUGCAGUAGCAGAGAUGAAGGAUAUGGUGUUUGUCUUGUGGUGGUUUGAAUUGUUGGUUGAGCACUGAUGGUGUGGCGAACCUGUGGUGCAAUGGUAGCACAACUGACUAUAUGUCAUAAGAUGUGUGUUCGACUCACACUAGGUUCACUUAUUUGUGUAUAAUUUUUAUUUUUUUGGAGACAACUUGUGCUAGUUGCCUCCAUAUCUGGAGACAACUUGGGCUAGUUGCUUUCACUUUUGAAGAUAAUUUUGUGCUAGUUGUCUUUACUUUUGAAGACAACUUGAGCUAGUUGCCUCCGAUAUUGACACAACUUCAACAAGUUGACUCCACAUGGUGGUGGUGGUUGGCUGCGGCGAUGGUGGUUAACGGCGGCGAUGGGUGACGGUUG